CUUGAAUGGCAUCGGCUUUGGAACGCCACUCCGGAGUGAGGCUCCGCAGGAUUUUUCGUACAAGCUCCUUGUCCGUGUACGUCUUUUUGAGUGCGUGGAGGUCAUUGACGAUUUUUGAAAAUCGUUCAAACAUGUCGAUUUUCUCGUUCUCCUUCAUACGAAAUAAUUCAUAUUCAUGGGUAAAAAAAAUCAAUUUUAGCCUCUCGGACUUGGUCCGUACCUUCGUAGGUGACCUCUAGCUUCUCNN
rnacentral:lncRNA from 1 species